AUGUACUACUCGCGCACCCCGGUUCAAAGCGCGCGCCGUCUACACCAGCUGAAAAUUGCUCGCUACGGGUUGCUAGCC
rnacentral:sRNA from 2 species